AUUGAACGCUGGCGGCAUGCCUUACACAUGCAAGUCGAACGGCAGCACGGGUGCUUGCACCUGGUGGCGAGUGGCAAACGGGUGAGUAAUACAUCGGAACGUACCUUAUCGUGGGGGAUAACGCAGCGAAAGCUGUGCUAAUACCGCAUACGCUCUGAGGGGGAAAGCGGGGGAUCGCAAGACCUCGCGCGAUUAGAGCGGCCGAUGCCUGAUUAGCUUGUUGGUGGGGUAAAAGCCCACCAAGGCGACGAUCAGUAGCUGGUCUGAGAGGACGAUCAGCCACACUGGGACUGAGACACGGCCCAGACUCCUACGGGAGGCAGCAGUGGGGAAUUUUGGACAAUGGGGGCAACCCUGAUCCAGCAAUGCCGCGUGAGUGAAGAAGGCCUUCGGGUUGUAAAGCUCUUUUGUCAGGGAAGAAACACCGGCUCUAACACAGUCCGGGAAUGACGGUACCUGAAGAAUAAGCACCGGCUAACUACGUGCCAGCCGCCGCCGUAA
rnacentral:rRNA from 1 species